rnacentral:tRNA from 1 species
UCCCUGGUGGUCCAGUGGCUAAGACUCCAUGUUCCCAAUGCAGGGGCCCAGGUUAGAUCCCUGGUCAGGGAA